UACGUAGGGGGCAAGCGUUGUCCGGAUUUAUUGGGCGUAAAGAGCGUGUAGGCGGUUAGGUAGGUCCGUUGUGAAAACUCGAGGCUCAACCUGGGAAUUGCAUUUGAGACUGCGUAGCUAGGGUGCGGAAGAGGGAAGCGGAAUUUCCGGUGUAGCGGUGAAAUGCGUAGAUAUCGGAAGGAACACCAGUGGCGAAAGCGGCUUCCUGGUCCAGCACCGACGUUCAGGCACGAAAGCGUGGGGAGCAAACAGG
rnacentral:rRNA from 1 species